GUCUACGGUCAUGCCACCCUGAACAAGCCUGAUCUCAUCUGCUCUUGUAAGCUGAGCAGGGUUGGGCCUGGUUAGUACUUGGAUGGGAGAUCACCUAGGAAGACCAGGUGCUGUAGGCA
rnacentral:rRNA from 1 species